UACCAGCACCCCGAGUGGUCGGGACGAUUAUUGGGCCUAAAGCAUCCGUAGCCGGUCCUGCAAGUCUUCCGUUAAAUCCAGCUGCUCAACAGAUGGGCUGCGGGGGAUACUACAGGGCUAGGAGGCGGGAGAGGCAAGCGGUACUCAGUGGGUAGGGGUAAAAUCCUCUGAUCCAUUGAAGACCACCAGUGGCGAAGGCGGCUUGCCAGAACGCGCUCGACGGUGAGGGAUGAAAGCUGGGGGAGCAAACCGG
rnacentral:rRNA from 1 species